UGCCAAUUAGAGAAUGAUACUCCUAUACAUUCUUUCUUCUCUUUGCUUUUUUUGCAGUGCUUUCGCCUAUGCCAUCUGUGAUGUUUGUAUUUCUUGAUGACCUUUUCAACAGUUUGUUGUUCUCAUUCUUCUGUCCGUGCAAGAGAGAUGGAAUUCUCCAAGGACAGCUACUUGAACAUAUGGCAAGAAAAAUCAACUCCGGUCCAGGUCUGCAUGAGCAAUUAUGUGUUAGAAUUGAGAAGAAGGAACAAGAAGACAAAUGAGGCAGGACUACAUCUUUAAUGUCUGGAAGCAUGCUAGGGGACCAGCAGACUGGUUUGGAGGAAUCCAAAAAAGCCAAUACACCUAACUUCACC
rnacentral:lncRNA from 1 species